rnacentral:rRNA from 1 species
GAUGAACGCUGGCGGCGUGCCUAAUACAUGCAAGUCGAGCGAACGGACGAGAAGCUUGCUUCUCUGAUGUUAGCGGCGGACGGGUGAGUAACACGUGGAUAACCUACCUAUAAGACUGGGAUAACUUCGGGAAACCGGAGCUAAUACCGGAUAAUAUUUUGAACCGCAUGGUUCAAAAGUGAAAGACGGUCUUGCUGGCACUUAUAGAUGGAUCCGCGCUGCAUUAGCUAGUUGGUAAGGUAACGGCUUACCAAGGCAACGAUGCAUAGCCGACCUGAGAGGGUGAUCGCCCACACUGGAACUGAGCCACGGUCCAGCCUCCUACGGGAGGCAGCAGUAGGGAAUCUUCCGCAAAGGGCGAAAGCCUGACGGAGCAACGCCGCGUGAGUGAUGAAGGUCUUCGGAUCGUAAAACUCUGUUAUUAGGGAAGAACAUAUGUGUAAGUAACUGUGCACAUCUUGACGGUACCUAAUCAGAAAGCCACGGCUAACUACGUG